UACGUAGGGUGCAAGCGUUGUCCGGAAUUAUUGGGCGUAAAGAGCUCGUAGGCGGUCUGUCGCGUCGGCUGUGAAAACCCGGGGCUCAACCCCGGGCCUGCAGUCGAUACGGGCAGACUAGAGUGCUGUAGGGGAGACUGGAAUUCCUGGUGUAGCGGUGAAAUGCGCAGAUAUCAGGAGGAACACCGGUGGCGAAGGCGGGUCUCUGGGCAGUAACUGACGCUGAGGAGCGAAAGCGUGGGGAGCAAACAGG
rnacentral:rRNA from 1 species